rnacentral:rRNA from 1 species
AGAGUUUGAUCCUGGNNNNNNNNNAANGCUGGCGGCAUGCCUUACACAUGCAAGUCGANCNGUAGAGGGGCAACCCUUGAGAGUGGCGAACGGGUGAGUAAUAUAUCGGAACGUGCCCAGUCGUGGGGGAUAACGCAGCGAAAGCUGCGCUAAUACCGCAUACGAUCUAAGGAUGAAAGCGGGGGAUCGCAAGACCUCGCGCGAUUGGAGCGGCCGAUAUCAGAUUAGGUAGUUGGUGGGGUAAAAGCCCACCAAGCCGACGAUCUGUAGCUGGUCUGAGAGGACGACCAGCCACACUGGGACUGAGACACGGCCCAGACUCCUACGGGAGGCAGCAGUGGGGAAUUUUGGACAAUGGGCGCAAGCCUGAUCCAGCAAUGCCGCGUGCAGGACGAAGGCCUUCGGGUUGUAAACUGCUUUUGUACGGAGCGAAACGGUCUGGGUUAAUACCCUGGGCUAAUGACGGUACCGUAAGAAUAAGCACCGGCUAACUACGUGCCAGCCGCCGCGGUAAUUC